UACGAAGGGGGCUAGCGUUGUUCGGAUUUACUGGGCGUAAAGCGCACGUAGGCGGAUCGUUAAGUCGGGGGUGAAAUCCUGGGGCUCAACCUCAGAAUUGCCUCCGAUACUGGCAGUCUCGAGUGCGGGAGAGGUGAGUGGAAUUCCCAGUGUAGAGGUGAAAUUCGUAGAUAUUGGGAAGAACACCGGUGGCGAAGGCGGCUACUCUGGACCGAGACUGACGCUGAGGCGCGAAAGCGUGGGGAGCAAACAGG
rnacentral:rRNA from 1 species